GUAGGCAAGGCAUCUUUUGGAGACCCAAGAAUUUUUGUUAACGUUGCUGUAAAUGGACGGUUUCUUAUUAGUAUGCCUGUACGAGCGAUUCCUGUGCUUGAGCUUCGGCUCGUGGGCACUUACCGCCACAUCACUUGGUUGCUUAUGGGCAACAAUGACAGCUAUCACAAUCAUGUUGUUGUCCAUCCGGACUAUCAGGCUACUUGGCUAGAAGCUGUAUUUUUGUCAGGACUGCAGGGUAUGAGAUCGAUGUAUACAUGCAUGCCCUAGACUCAGGUGCCCCGGAGUGAAAUGGGAGUCGAACGGCUAGACAUGCCAUACAAUGUUGCCUUCUUUUCCGCAAUACCCUGAUUACCCAAUUCCUGAUGUACAUUCCGAUUCGUGUCUCUACUGCAGAACUUUAGCUCAUAGAGCAGAAAACUCGUAUCAUCUCUCUAUGUAUGGUGUCGAGCAAUGGAACUGCAGUGAUCUGGCAGUGUGACUGUUGACCUCCUUGACACCAUUCACGUUCGUCGCUCUGAACCCACUCAGCAGACAAGUUGGCAUAGACAUGUUUACAUCAGCAAUCUUUUCUUUGAGAUAUCUGGUGGCCUUUCGUAACCAUCGAAUUCAAGUCAUCUUUGAGUACAUGACAUCUUCUGAAGUUCAUGCCAUCAUGCUUUAGUUUUCCCACAUGAGCUGAGAUUAUUCAAAUAAAAAGACGGUCUCAGGCACAAGAGCAUGAUGUGCUUCCGCCAGUUGCUUUCACACCAAGGCCACGCGGUUGAUCAUCUAAGCGCACCUAUGAAGUUGACCAACAAGGAAGUUGGCCAGAGCUACUAAUUAGUAUGCCUAAUUGCUAUUACAUUAUCCUUUGCAUCAAGAGGUAUCAAGAAGGAUUCCUGGCAUCGUCGCCGGGGAGAUAUACGCCAAGUCAAGACAUACCAAGUACCCAUCACAACUCUUGUCCUUUGCAUCACAUUAUUUGUCAUUUGCCUCUUGUUCUCCUCUCCUCUACUUCAUCCUUGCCAUUUUAUUCGCCCUCUCUUUCCCGUACGCCUCUUUCUUGCUUACCUCUUGUUGCUUGUUACCCUUAUGGAUUUACCAAAAGGAGUUGAUCCUCACCUUACAAGGUUGGAAGAAAUCGAAAACAAAGAUAGAAGUUUUAUGUCCUUGCAGUUUGAGCAUAAUAAUUUCUCUAGAAAUGAGCUUAAAGAACAAAAAAGUUUUAUCAGUUUCAUGAAUAAAGAGCUCAAUGAUAUGUCUAAGGAAUUUUAUGGUUUGAAAUCUCAGCUUGCUCAUUUUGAAAAAUUAAUUGCUGAAAUCUCGGAUAAAUAGGCCACCUUAGUUAAUAAGAUGGCCGCUAAACCGAAAAGUUUUCAUGAUAAUAAGGAUGAAGAUCUAAAAGUGAUUGUUGUGUCCCCUAUUAAAUCCUUGUUUUGCAAUAUGAAUCUUGAUAAUUAUGGGACUGGAGAUGAGUCAACAUUAGUUAGAAGGCGUCCCAAUGAUUCAAAGUUUUUAGAUCU